UGAUGUGAUAAUUUAUAAAAAUCAUAAUCACAAAUUGAUAAAAACCAAUUAAUUGCCAAUGGCACAACCGGCUUCGAAUCCUCCUUACCAGUUGGUGGGAAACCCUCCUCGAGGAGUUCUUCUGACGCUCCUACCUAAGAGUGGACCUCUACUGACCUCCCUAGCAUGUCACUAACGUCCUGCUCGGUAGUCUGGAUGUGCUUUCUCUCUGUUCUACCAUUUUUUAACAAUUUUUUUUUUGAUAAAAACCAAUUUAAUAUAUUGAAUAUAAUCCACCAAUGGAUAAAAAAGCACACUAACCUUGAAAUUCUAGCACACAUUUCAGAAGCAAAAGCUAGAAUUUUAAUUUUCCUGCACCUGGAAAUAAAAACUGAAAAAAAUAAGGAUCCAUUACAAAGUGAAAACAACAAAAUUACUAUACUAUAGAUGACUUAAAAUAAUACUCACAUUCUAUACAGAAAGUACUAAAAGCCACACUAAGUGUAAUUUCAAAUUCCAAAUGGAACGAAACAUCCUUUAGUUUAAUACCACAAUGAACAAUAUAUAUCCUGCAAAAGUAUGUAUGGUAAAAAGUAAUGGAUUAAAGAACUCUCUAUUGUAAAGUAGUAGAUUGUUCUCAACUCACAACUUAAAAAAUAAUAGUGAGGAAGAUCCAAGGCAAUUUGAAAACUAAUGCACCAAGUACUGUGAUGAGAACAACACAUGGCGAGUGAAGAUUAAUGACAAUGACAAAAAAGAAGGUGGUGCAGUGAAUAAGUGGUAGUGAAUAUUUUCACAUGGCUAUAUAUAGAGUUCUUUGGACUCAAUAUUGUAAGAAGAAGGUGAAAGAUGAAAGCUGCAUCUAAGAGAAAAUGAAAGGGCAAAGAGAAGAGGAAAGAUGAAACUUGC
rnacentral:lncRNA from 1 species